CCUACGGGAGGCAGCAGUGAGGAAUAUUGGUCAAUGGACGAGAGUCUGAACCAGCCAAGUAGCGUGAAGGAUGACUGCCCUAUGGGUUGUAAACUUCUUUUAUAUGGGAAUAAAAUGUUCCACGUGUGGGAUUUUGUAUGUACCAUAUGAAUAAGGAUCGGCUAACUCCGUGCCAGCAGCCGCGGUAAUACGGAGGAUCCGAGCGUUAUCCGGAUUUAUUGGGUUUAAAGGGAGCGUAGGUGGAUUGUUAAGUCAGUUGUGAAAGGUUGGGGCUCAACCGUAAAAUUGCAGUUGAAACUGGCAGUCUUGAGUACAGUAGAGGUGGGCGGAAUUCGUGGUGUAGCGGUGAAAUGCUUAGAUAUCACACAGAACACCGAUUGCGAAGGCAGCUCACGAAUCCGCGAUUGACGCUGAUGCACGAAAGCGUGGGUAUCAAACAGGAUUAGAUACCCGUGUAGUC
rnacentral:rRNA from 1 species